rnacentral:rRNA from 1 species
UACAGAGGGUGCAAGCGUUAAUCGGAGUUACUGGGCGUAAAGGGCGCGUAGGCGGAUUAUUAAGUGAGAUGUGAAAUCCCUGGGCUUAACCUAGGAACUGCAUCUUAUACUGGUAGUCUAGAGUAUUGUAGAGGGUAGUGGAAUUUCCGGUGUAGCGGUGAAAUGCGUAGAGAUCGGAAGGAACACCAGUGGCGAAGGCGGCUACCUGGACAAAUACUGACGCUGAGGCGCGAGAGCGUGGGGAGCAAACAGG